GACAGAGGAUGCAAACGUUGUUCGGAAUUACUGGGCGUAAAGCGUGUGUAGGCGGCUUUGCAAGUCGGGUGUGAAAGCCCCAGGCUCAACCUGGGAAGGGCACUCGAUACUGCUAAGCUAGAGUGUCGGAGAGGUUGGUGGAAUUCUCGGUGUAGAGGUGAAAUUCGUAGAUAUCGAGAGGAACACCGGUGGCGAAGGCGGCCAACUGGACGAACACUGACGCUGAGACACGAAAGCGUGGGGAGCAAACAGG
rnacentral:rRNA from 1 species